rnacentral:rRNA from 1 species
UACAGAGGGGGCAAGCGUUGUUCGGAAUUACUGGGCGUAAAGAGCUCGUAGGCGGUCUGUCGCGUCUGCCGUGAAAACCCGAGGCUUAACCUCGGGCUGGCGGUGGAUACGGGCAGACUAGAGGUAGGUAGGGGAGAAUGGAAUUCCCGGUGUAGCGGUGAAAUGCGCAGAUAUCGGGAGGAACACCGGUGGCGAAGGCGGUUCUCUGGGCCUUACCUGACGCUGAGGAGCGAAAGCUAGGGGAGCGAAUGGG